rnacentral:rRNA from 1 species
CAGCCGCCGCGGGAAAACGUAGGUGGCAAGCGUUGUCCGGAAUUAUUGGGCGUAAAAGGCUCGCAGGCGGUUUCUUUAGUCUGAUGUGAAAGCCCCCGGCUCAACCGGGGAGGGUCAUUGGAAACUGGGAAACUUGAGUGCAGAAGAGGAGAGUGGAAUUCCACGUGUAGCGGUGAAAUGCGUAGAGAUGUGGAGGAACACCAGUGGCGAAGGCGACUCUCUGGUCUGUAACUGACGCUGAGGAGCGAAAGCGUGGGGAGCGAACAGGAUUAGAUACCCCUGUAGUCCCUGUCUCUUAUAA